UACGGAGGGGGCAAGCGUUGUUCGGAAUUACUGGGCGUAAAGCGCACGUAGGCGGCUUUGUAAGUUAGAGGUGAAAGCCCGGGGCUCAACCCCGGAAUUGCCUUUAAGACUGCAUCGCUUGAAUCCGGGAGAGGUGAGUGGAAUUCCGAGUGUAGAGGUGAAAUUCGUAGAUAUUCGGAAGAACACCAGUGGCGAAGGCGGCUCACUGGACCGGCAUUGACGCUGAGGUGCGAAAGCGUGGGGAGCAAACAGG
rnacentral:rRNA from 1 species